GAGGAUGUGGCUCAGUGGUAGAGCUCUUGCCUUGCAAGCACAAGGCUCUGGGCUUGAUCCCCAGUACCACA
rnacentral:tRNA from 1 species